rnacentral:rRNA from 1 species
AUUGAACGCUGGCGGCAUGCCUUACACAUGCAAGUCGAACGGCAGCGCGGGAGCAAUCCUGGCGGCGAGUGGCGAACGGGUAGUAAUAUAUCGGAACGUGCCCAGUAGUGGGGAGUACCGGCGAAGACCGGUUAAUACCGCAUGAGACCUGAGGGUGGAAAGACGGGGGAGUCGCAAGACCUCGCGCUAUUGGAGCGGCCGAUAUCAGAUUAGCUAGUUGGUGGGGUAAAGGGACCUACCCAAGGCAACGAAUCUGUAGUUGGUCUGAGAGGACGACCAGCCACACUGGGACUGAGACACGGCCCACGACUCCUACGGGAGGCAGCAGUGGGGAAUUUUGGUACAAUGGGCGGCAAGCCUGAUCCAGCAAU